GGGUAUGGUAACAUCUCAAAUAUUUUCCCACUGGCACUAUCAGUCAAUGUUAUCGGAAGCACUGCCAGCCUUCAGAGUGGCGACGAGGACAAACGUCAAACAAAUCGCUUCAACCAGAAUGUUUAUUUACAUUUUCUCAGUAACCUUCCUACGCCUUUCCUUCACGCUAUUCGAUUUACAUUGCCGGUUUUCGUUCAAUUGUGAACUAUUUUUUCGGAAAUUGAAGUGUAUUUCUAGUGCUCUUUACUGUAAACCAAUCGAGUUCAUUAGUGCCGUUUCCAAUAUCGGUUAAAUAUCACAAUAAGUUCGAUUGCGCAAAUACGGACAACGUAAACACACCUGUUGAGCCUCAUUCACUGCUAACCAAGAUCAAGGUCAAAGAAAAAGCAAAGCGAUCUUCUUGGAUACUAUUUUUGUUUCAGUGUUAAUAGGUUGUAAAGGACUUAUCCCGUCUCGUGGUGUAAAACG